GAGACAGCAGGUCCGGUAGAGAGACACAGGAUCAAACAGCAGGUCUUGGACAAGGUAGCACUUCUGGUGAGUCCUGAGCAGGUCAGGGUUCCAUAGCCGCAGACAGAAACAGCAGAGACUGGAUCAGCAGCACGACAAGGUGGACUGGGGACAGGGCUAGCCAGGAGUCAUCAGGCCAGGUAGUCCUGUGGCAUUGUCCUAGGGCUCAGUUACUGCAUCCUUUAUUUUAUUUGUGUUUUAAUUUGUGUAGACUAAAGCCCAGAAACACACACUUCAUUUAGGUUAGUGUAGUCAAGGCUUUGUCACUAAAAUAAUAUUGUGCUUAUCUUUCAGAUCUGUCAACCAAGCUCGCUGGGUGACAGGUGAGUGUUUCCACCAAGCUGUUCCAGUCCUGGAGUGGAAUGCUGGAACUUCCAGAGGCUUGUAGACCUGAAGCAUUGUGAUGUGGUCCAGAUCUGACAUCCCUAUUAUUUCAACCACAGCCCUCACAGCUGCAGUCGUCUGCCCCUGCUAUACUGGUCACGACAGGUGAUACAGAUCUGCCACCAGGUUUUCAGCUGCAGUCACACCAGUCCUCAGCUGUGGUAUUUCAUUUACCGGCUGUACCAGAUCCUACUACACUGGCCAUGAAGGGAGAACAUUUUGAGGAUUCCCAGAUGGAUACAGAUCUGCCAUGCACUUCACCACUGCCCUACAGCCUCACCCAGAAAUGCAUACACUGGGCCUAGCAAGACUGACAAAGCAGAGAUGGGUGGCUGACAAGGAAAAUUAAACACAACAUACACACACACACACACACACACACACAC